rnacentral:rRNA from 1 species
GACGUAGGAUGCGAGCGUUGUCCGGAUUUAUUGGGCGUAAAGAGCUCGUAGGCGGCUCGUCGCGUCGACCGUGAAAACCCGCAGCUUAACUGCGGGCCUGCGGUUGAUACGGGCGGGCUAGAGUUCGGUAGGGGAGACUGGAAUUCCUGGUGUAGCGGUGAAAUGCGCAGAUAUCAGGAGGAACACCGGUGGCGAAGGCGGGUCUCUGGGCCGAUACUGACGCUGAGGAGCGAAAGCGUGGGGAGCGAACAGG